GCCUAACACAUGCAAGUCGAGCGGAAACGAGAAUAGCUUGCUAUUCGGCGUCGAGCGGCGGACGGGUGAGUAAUGCCUAGGAAAUUGCCUUGAUGUGGGGGAUAACCAUUGGAAACGAUGGCUAAUACCGCAUAAUGCCUUCGGGCCAAAGAGGGGGACCUUCAGGCCUCUCGCGUCAGGAUAUGCCCAGGUGGGAUUAGCUAGUUGGUGAGGUAAAGGCUCACCAAGGCGACGAUCCCUAGCUGGUCUGAGAGGAUGAUCAGCCACACUGGAACUGAGACACGGUCCAGACUCCUACGGGAGGCAGCA
rnacentral:rRNA from 1 species